rnacentral:rRNA from 1 species
UACAGAGGUCUCAAGCGUUGUUCGGAUUCAUUGGGCGUAAAGGGUGCGUAGGUGGCGCCGUAAGUCAGGUGUGAAAUCCCCGGGCUCAACCUGGGAACUGCAUUUGUGACUGUAGAGCUGGAGUACGGCAGAGGGGGAUGGAAUUCCGCGUGUAGCAGUGAAAUGCGUAGAUAUGCGGAGGAACACCGAUGGCGAAGGCAGGUCUCUGGGCUGACACUGACGCUCAUGCACGAAAGCGUGGGGAGCAAACAGG